AAUCCCUCUACAAAGGCUCUGUAGCAGAUGCUAAUUCUCUAAAACAACUGUGAAACUAAAUAAAAUGAGAGCCAAAACAGAAAGGCAGAACAUUUCGACUGGGCGGAGUGUCAGCAUUUUCUCACUGUUUUUUUGUGCGGUUGCUUGAGCGUUUGUUCCUUUCUUUGAUGCCCGUUUUGGGUUCAUUUAUUUUUUCAUAUCGUGGGAGCCUGCUGCUUUUUCCUGUUGUGGAGGAUUUCCUCAUGAGUCAUUUGGAUGAAGGCUGCUAUUCAGUGCUGAGUCGGAUGGAGAAGAGAGAGAAUCACAGAAGGAGAGAGAGGCUGAAUACCGUAACUCUCCAGUACCCCGUGAUGCCACCACUCUGCCUGGCCAAGCCCGGCACAGAUCAUUCAGACUGUAUGCAGGAAGACCAGGAGCAGACACGUCCUGCUGUGUGAUGUGAGUCGCACACCAGAUGUUUGGGCUCUCGUUCUGCAGCAGGAUUUGUUUUGCUGCAAUUACAACGAGUCGCGAUGAUUAGCCUGCUUUGCAUAGUUGGUGUGUGGCUAAUGACUAAAGGGACGACUACAUUGUUGCGGAGAAGGAAAAAAAAGCCAAAUGGGACUGUUUUUUGCUAAGGCUUCGACCACUGCAGGACAUGACUGUUUUCUCCUUGAGGCCUAUUCUCACAGAACUGUCAUUCAGUCUUUCCCAUCACCUGGCUCUGUGGUGGAUGUCUGCAUGCACUAUUUCUACGUUUCCUCACGCUUGGACACUGCAGAGCUUCAGAUGGUAGAAAGGUGUCUGUGCCAGACCGUUUCGGUUCACACGCACACAUCGAGUGUUCCCGCCUCCCCCUCGGACUCGAGGGCAUCUGGUCCUUCCUUGUUGGACGAGGACUUUACAGCACAUAGUGUAUGAUUGUUACAUGAGAACUUUGGAUUGGAACAAGGAAAGAAGACAAUGCGAUGGAAAUAGCGACUCUCAUUCGGUGUUCUUUAAUUACAAUAUUAACUGCUGUUCAUUUUUCUAUUGCACUUCGAUGUGGUUUGUGUUGCUAACUCCAACUCAGAACUUUCCUGAUUGUAGCGUCAAGACAAUUAUUCCUAUACAAUUAUUUCUAUUUUUGGUCAAGGUUUUCAGUUUUUAUUAACAUUUUUUGUAUAAUGGUGUAUAAUGGCGAUGAGAUUGUCCAGCUUUUUCUGUAUUAAUAGUAUACACUAAUUAAAUAGUGUAAUUAUUUUCUGGAAUUAGUUCUCAACCGGCAGCUUAUUAAACAGCAGACACCUUUCAUUAUAUCUAAUGAAUUUAAUUGUGGCUUAUAUUUUGCCUUGACUUUAUUGUUUGAAUGCAUUGGAAAUCUCACAUUGAGAUUGCGAUAAUUGCUCAAGUAUUUUCUCCUGUUAUACAUUUUCAUAUGUCAACUAAAGUUACAUCUUUUUUUCUUCCUUUGCUUAAAACCUCACAAUCACUUUAGCCAACCUUUGGAUACAUCAGUGAUUUGUAUCUUUUUGAUGUUCUCUAUGAAAUAACAAUAGUUACAAAAAUAAUAAUGUUAUUUUUAUUAUUAUUAUUAUUCUAUUAUAAAUACCACCUCUGACGAACCGCAAAGAGGCCCUGACGUAUUCUCUUUCCACCACUAUGGAAAGUUGUCAAAAUAAAAAAAUAAAACCGUAUUAUCUUCUUGAA